rnacentral:misc_RNA from 1 species
CCGAGUUCAUGCCCUCACGGGUAGAUCUCCCACCCUAUGUUAUUAUUACCUUUGUUGCUUUGGCGGGCCGUCAGGCUUCGGUCAGGCUACCAGCUCCGGCUGGUAUGCGCCCGCCAGAGGACCCCAAACUCUGUGUUAUAUGUCGUCUGAGUACUAUAUAUAAUAGUUA